AUUUUCGGAUAAUCGCGGCUUAGUUAGCUAAGUUGAGGAAAGUCCAUGCUCGCACAAGCUGCGAUGCUUGUAGUGUUCGUGCUUAGCGAAAAAAUAAGCUAAGGUACUCUUUUAGAGUAACGGCAGAUAAAACUCCUAAGGUCUUAUGACUAUGGGGGAGUAGUCUUGAAAGUGCCACAGUGACGAAGCAAUACUAGAAAUGGUAUUGGUGGAACGCGGUAAACCCCUCGAGCGAGCAACCCAAACUUUGGUAGGGGCAUCCUUUUUGAGGAAUUGAACAAGAAAAGGAACAGUUUAUCUGUAGACAGAUGAUUAUCGUUGAUUUUUUUCCUGAGAAAAAUCAAUACAGAACAUGGCUUAUAGAA
rnacentral:RNase_P_RNA from 2 species